UCACCCCACCGCGGGAGCUCGGGCACGGCCGGGCUGAGAGGGCGGACCCCAGCGCUUCGCCGACCGCAUGAACCUGUCCGGGUAAUGCCGGCGUAGGAAGAGCGUUUCGGGCAUGU
rnacentral:ncRNA from 1 species